GUAUUUGUAACGUGAAUACAUUCCUCAUUACAGAAAUAUCAUUAUUGAUGUUUCUAACAUCAUUUCAUCUAUAAUUUUUACUUUCGGUUAUGCUCAUUCGACUUUUAAUAAUCGUAUGAAUCUAUGAAGCUCCUUAUAAAGUUUUGUCUUUUAUUUUUUUAUUAUAGGGAGAACAUGGAAGUUUAUGAAGUAUUUGCUGUGGAAUCCAUGAUGAAGCCAGUGCAAUGUGGAAUUAUCUUUCAUAGCAAGUCAUAAAAGAGAAAGGACAGCAAGAGCAAAAACAAUUCUUAUGUCUAUAAUGAAAACCAAUUUGGAUGUAGGUUCCCAUCCUGGUGCUUCCAACAGCUUCUUCAGAUGCAUCUACAAACACAUAAUUACAUAUGUAAGAUAUAAUAAAAUAUGAUGGCUAUGUUAAGAAAUA